rnacentral:rRNA from 1 species
GUGCCAGCAGCCGCGGUAAUACGAAGGGUGCAAGCGUUAAUCGGAAUUACUGGGCGUAAAGGGUGCGUAGGCGGUUGGUUAAGUCUGUUGUGAAAUCCCCGGGCUCAACCUGGGAAUGGCAAUGGAUACUGGCGAGCUAGAGUGUGUCAGAGGAUGGUGGAAUUCCCGGUGUAGCGGUGAAAUGCGUAGAGAUCGGGAGGAACAUCAGUGGCGAAGGCGGCCAUCUGGGACAACACUGACGCUGAAGCACGAAAGCGUGGGGAGCAAACAGGAUUAGAUACCCUGGUAGUCCACGCCCUAAACGAUGCGAACUGGAUGUUGGUCUCAACUCGGAGAUCAGUGUCGAAGCUAACGCGUUAAGUUCGCCGCCUGGGGAGUACGGUCGCAAGACUGAGACUCAAAGGAAUUGACGGGGGCCCGCACAAGCGGUGGAGUAUGUGGUUUAAUUCGAUGCAACGCGAAGAACCUUACCUGGCCUUGACAUGUCCGGAAUCCUGCAGAGAUGCGGGAGUGCCUUCGGGAAUCGGAACACAGGUGCUGCAUGGCUGUCGUCAGCUCGUGUCGUGAGAUGUUGGGUUAAGUCCCGCAACGAGCGCAACCCUUGUCCUUAGUUGCCAGCACGUCAUGGUGGGAACUCUAAGGAGACUGCCGGUGACAAACCGGAGGAAGGUGGGGAUGACGUCAAGUCCUCAUGGCCCUUACGGCCAGGGCUACACACGUACUACAAUGGUCGGUACAGAGGGUUGCGAAGCCGCGAGGUGGAGCCAAUCCCAGAAAGCCGAUCCCAGUCCGGAUCGAAGUCUGCAACUCGACUUCGUGAAGUCGGAAUCGCUAGUAAUCGCGGAUCAGCUAUGCCGCGGUGAAUACGUUCCCGGGCCUUGUACACACCGCCCGUCACACCAUGGGAGUGGGUUGCUCCAGAAGCCGUUAGUCUAACCGCAAGGAGGACGACGACCACGGAGUGGUUCACGACUGGGGUGAAGUCGUAACAAGGUAACC